rnacentral:rRNA from 1 species
UGGAUCCAGACUUUGAUUAUGGCUCAGGACGAACGCUGGCGGCGCGCCUAACACAUGCAAGUCGAACGAGCGAGAGAGAGCUUGCUUUCUCGAGCGAGUGGCGAACGGGUGAGUAACGCGUGAGGAACCUGCCUCAAAGAGGGGGACAACAGUUGGAAACGACUGCUAAUACCGCAUAAGCCCACAGGUCGGCAUCGACCAGAGGGAAAAGGAGCAAUCCGCUUUGAGAUGGCCUCGCGUCCGAUUAGCUAGUUGGUGAGGUAACGGCCCACCAAGGCAACGAUCGGUAGCCGGACUGAGAGGUUGAACGGCCACAUUGGGACUGAGACACGGCCCAGACUCCUACGGGAGGCAGCAGUGGGGAAUAUUGCACAAUGGGGGAAACCCUGAUGCAGCGACGCCGCGUGGAGGAAGAAGGUCUUCGGAUUGUAAACUCCUGUUGUUGAGGAAGAUAAUGACGGUACUCAACAAGGAAGUGACGGCUAACUACGUGCCAGCAGCCGCGGUAAAACGUAGGUCACAAGCGUUGUCCGGAAUUACUGGGUGUAAAGGGAGCGCAGGCGGGAAGACAAGUUGGAAGUGAAAUCUAUGGGCUCAACCCAUAAACUGCUUUCAAAACUGUUUUUCUUGAGUAGUGCAGAGGUAGGCGGAAUUCCCGGUGUAGCGGUGGAAUGCGUAGAUAUCGGGAGGAACACCAGUGGCGAAGGCGGCCUACUGGGCACCAACUGACGCUGAGGCUCGAAAGUGUGGGUAGCAAACAGGAUUAGAUACCCUGGUAGUCCACACCGUAAACGAUGAUUACUAGGUGUUGGAGGAUUGACCCCUUCAGUGCCGCAGUUAACACAAUAAGUAAUCCACCUGGGGAGUACGACCGCAAGGUUGCAACUCAAAUGAAUUGACGGA